rnacentral:rRNA from 1 species
CCUUACCUACUCUUGACAUGCCUGGAAUCCUGUAGAGAUGCGGGAGUGCUCGAAAGAGAGCCAGGACACAGGUGCUGCAUGGCCGUCGUCAGCUCGUGUCGUGAGAUGUUGGGUUAAGUCCCGCAACGAGCGCAACCCUUGUCAUUAGUUGCUACGAAAGGGCACUCUAAUGAGACUGCCGGUGACAAACCGGAGGAAGGUGGGGAUGACGUCAGGUCAUCAUGGCCCUUAUGGGUAGGGCUACACACGUCAUACAAUGGCCGGUACAGAGGGCUGCCAACCCGCGAGGGGGAGCCAAUCCCAGAAAACCGGUCGUAGUCCGGAUCGCAGUCUGCAACUCGACUGCGUGAAGUCGGAAUCGCUAGUAAUCGCGGAUCAGCUUGCCGCGGUGAAUACGUUCCCGGGUCUUGUACACACCGCCCGUCACACCAUGGGAGCGGGUUCUGCCAGAAGUAGUUAGCCUAACCGCAAGGGGGGCGAUUACCACGGCAGGGUUCGUGACUGGGGUGAAGU